GGGCCUGAUCCUUUGCUCAACCU
rnacentral:miRNA from 11 species